ensembl:snRNA U6 U6 spliceosomal RNA
GGGCUCACUUUAGCAGCACAUGUACUAAAAUUGGGAGGACACAGACAUUAGCAUGGCCCCUGCACAAGGGUGAUAGACAAAGGGUUCCAUAUUUAG